GGAUUGUGGCUCAGGGGUACAGUGCUUGCCUAGCAUGUGCAAGACCCUGGGUUCAAUCCUCAGCACCA
rnacentral:tRNA from 1 species